ensembl:lncRNA
AAACAAACUGACUGGAUUAACCCCACGUUAGCUACAUGCAUUGAGUGGCGUUCAGACGGUUGACAUGAACAGUCACUUUGCCAGCCAGUGUUUCUACCAGAGCAUGUUAUCCAGAGGUAUAAAAAGGUCCUGCAGUACAUCGAUAAGGGAGUCACCAAAACCCUGGCUUACCGCAAGUGUGGGAUUGACCGAAAAACCAUUGUUGACACUGCAGCAAUAGCGGAGCUGGAGGCGUGUGACACUGAAGCCUACAAGACCUUGCGUGAAAAUUUUCAUAGAGGGCAAAAACUGUCACAAUUUGCAGAGAAAUGCAGGGAAAUUUGCAAAAAGAGCCACUUCAAACUUUGAUUGAAGAUAAAAAGAAAAAUGGCCAGCUAAUUGACCUCUGUCACAGACAAAAAUAACUUUUGUUCACAUGUGUGUGUUGGCAAGGUUGAAGUUCAGGCAUCGAGACGUUUUAUAGUUUUUAUAGUCAGUUUUUUUUUUUAUUUGGUCUAACAGGUUUGGACUUAAAACAAUGUUUUCUUUUUUU